UGUCCAGUAGCACCUUAGAGGCCAACUAAGUUUGUUCUGGCUAUAAGCUUUCGUGUGCGUGCAAAAUUUAUACCCAAAACAAACUUAGUUUGUCUCUAAGGUGCUACUGGACA